GCCCGCACCCGAGGCGCAGAGCAGCCAGAACCAGUGAUGAUCGUGAGAUCCUGCAGACGUCAAUGGAGCUUCUUAAUCAGUUGGAUGGAUUUUAUGAGCUUAGCAAGAUUUUUGGAAGGUUGAAGGUGGAAUCGAACUCCGAGCUCGAGGUUGCGCUGGUGCAGUGGUGGCUGCGAUCGGGCCCGAUCUAGGAAAAAUCUUCCUCGUUUUUGGUCUGCAUGGCGAUGAUCUGUUUCUUCAGGAUCCGCUCGUUGCCAGAGCCGGCUUGGGACGCCUCCUAGACGACGACACAAGCUUGAAGCGAGCGGAACACUGAAGGAGGAUCUCGGGGAUGAAGGAAGCGUCAGCGACGACCUCAGGCGAGAGGCAUGUAAUGCAGGUAAUACUAGAGCUUCCAGCCUCCUCAGGCUGGCGUGGGAACAUCAGUAAGGGCUUGGAGCCUGUCAAAGAGGAGGCAAAGAGUACACUGCUGAUGAAACAUGAGGCCGAGACAAAAACAAAUGCCUAUUGGCUCAGUUUGCUAACCCACAUGCAGUCUGCAUUAGUGCCGAGAAAGACGUGAUGGCAUGGGAUCAGACCGUCAUUACCAACUACCAGCAAAAGAACGCUCAAGUCCAUCUACGGCCUCGACAUGACGUGUUGCCCUUUGCGGCAGCGUAGUGCAACAAGCUUGCAGCGUUGCUAUAUUAUUUUAUAAAGAGAUAGAACUUGUAGUACUGAUCAUGUGAAAUGCGCCGAUGUGGUAGGCAACGAUCUUUUCUGAAUGAAAUGUAUUUUAGAUUGUAAAGCU